rnacentral:tRNA from 1 species
UACCCAGGACAGGAUUCGAACCUGCGCCUCCGAAGAGAUUAGAGCCUUAAUCUAACGCGUUAACCACUCCGCCACCUGAGU